GUUUCCAGACACCCUCGUGUCAGGACUGAGGUGGAUGGAGGAAGGGAGGCAGUACCGUGCACCGGCCGCAAGUCCCCCUCACAGCCUGGUAGCUGACUUCCUCAAGACCACCAGGAAAUUCUUUCUGACUUCAGGAAGAGUCCCACCACCUCACCUGAUUAGCUGAGACCCAGAUAAUCUCUUUUGAUUAACCCCAAAUCAUAAUGCGGUUUCAAAGGGGCCAGCCUUCCCCCUCCGUGGCUCAGAGAGAAGUGUG